AGGACGAACGCUGGCGGCGUGCUUAACACAUGCAAGUGGAGCGACGAACCAGGGCUUGCCCUGGGGCAGAGCCGCGAACGGGUGAGUAACACGUGGGUUACCUGCCUCGAUGACCGGGACAACCCGAGGAAACUCGGGCUAAUACCGGAUGUGCCCGCAAGGGGAAAGGAAGCUUCGGCCUCCGCAUCGAGAUGGGCCCGCGGCCCAUUAGCUUGUUGGUGAGGUAACGGCUCACCAAGGCUUCGAUGGGUAGCUGGUCUGAGAGGACGAUCAGCCACACUGGGACUGAGACACGGCCCAGACUCCUACGGGAGGCAGCAGUGGGGAAUCUUGCGCAAUGCGCGAAAGCGUGACGCAGCAACGCCGCGUGGGGGAAGAAGGCUUUCGGGUUGUAAACCCUUUCAGUUGGGACGAAGCUUCGACGGUGAAUAGCCGGACGGAGUGACGGUACCUUCACAAGAAGCACCGGCUAACUACGCGCCAGCAGCCGCGGU
rnacentral:rRNA from 1 species